rnacentral:rRNA from 1 species
CCUACGGGUGGCAGCAGUAGGGAAUCUUCCACAAUGGGCGAAAGCCUGAUGGAGCAACGCCGCGUGGGUGAAGAAGGUCUUCGGAUCGUAAAACCCUGUUGUUAGAGAAGAAAGUGCGUGAGAGUAACUGUUCACGUUUCGACGGUAUCUAACCAGAAGGCGACGGCAAACUACGUGCCAGCACCCGCGGUAAUACGUCGGUGGCAAGAGUUAGCCGGAUUUAUUGGGCGGAAAGGGAACGCAGGCGGGCUUUUAAGCCUGAUGGGAAAGCCUUCGGGUUAACCGGGGUAGUGCAUUGGAAACUGGGAGACUUGAGUGCAGAAGAGGAGAGGCGAACUCCAUGUGUAGCGGUGAAAUGCG